CAUUUCCUUUCUCAUUUUCUUCGUUCAUUCCGUCGGAAGCAGAGAUGGGUGAUGAGGAGGCAAACCCUAGAUCUAUUCUCAACUGAUAUCUUCUUCACCUCUCUCAACAAAUCGAGUAAUUUCUAUCUCAAUCAUCACUCUCGUCUCAUCUUUCCAUCUCUUUCAAAUCAUUUAAAAGCUUCUUUUAGAAGGUUUUAUGUUUUUUACUCUCUCUCUUUCAUGUCUUCUCGAUCUGCUCUGAAGAAGAGUUUCUGUUCUGAAGAAAUCCAACCAGCUGAAAGCAUCAAUCUGGGUUUUUAGGUCAUCUGUGAGAUUCAGAAGCAUCGAUCUGAUAAUCAGUUCUCUAUGGAGAAAAAGGAAGAUGAGAAAGCAAAUAAGAUAACUUUUAGGAGCGUCCCAGAAUUUAGAGGGCUAUUUAUUGAACAGUGUUUGGCACAAGCUACUGAGUAUGGAUUUUCUGGAACUUCUUUGAAGCAAACUUCGUGGGGAAAUUUGUGCAAGUUCUUUUCUGAGAAGUAUGACU